CGGUGAGUGGCGCAGUUUGGUAGCGUAACUGGUUUGGGACCAGUUGGUCAGAGGUUCAAAUCCUCUCUCACCGA
rnacentral:tRNA from 1 species